rnacentral:lncRNA from 1 species
AUGAACAAAAGACCACAAGUUUGAUAACUCAGUUGGCAAGGCUAUGGGGAAAUAGACACUCUCAUAUAUCAAUCAUGAGAGGAAGAAGAAUCUGCGCCUGCCCCUGGCUCAGUGCCUGGUGCCAACAGAACACCUUUCAGGAUCCACAGCAACGCAGACAACGUAAGUACCAGCCGUUUCCUGAAACCCUUUUUCAGAUUUUUUUUUUAAACGACCACCUAAAACAUAGAGACAAACCUCUUCCCCCUUCUUUCCCCUUCUUCUCCCCUGCGUUCUGCCACCAGGGUUUCCUAAGUGGCACCUUCCAAAUCCCUCUGACUUCAAGUUUGUGCAUGUCUGUGUGGCAUCCCUCCUCCUCCUUCACUCCCAUAGUGGAUCUUGUAAAAGGGCUUCAGAUCGGCCCCAUUCAUCUCCCUGGUGAUAGCAGUGAAUGUAGAUAAAUCUCUGACUGCCUGCUUGCUGCUGGAGUAUGAUUUUUAUUUUGUCUUCUGUGUAUACCUGGGUCAAAAAGUGGGAUUGUAUGCACACACAUACAUGCACUUACACACAUUUCCCUCUCUCUCCUUCUCUGUCCUCCUCUCCUUCUCCUCACACAUGCAUACAUCCCACAUUAUGUGUAUAUAUGCAUAAACAUAUACACCUAUAUACAUACCCAUACCUAUAACACAAAAAUAGACACAUACCUAAAUGUUUCAUUUGUCUGAAAAUAAUGUGUAUUUAUAUACACAUACAGCCUUACAAAUGUGUCUAAAUGCAAUCGAUAGGUGCCUAUCUUUUAAUUUAUACCCUUCUAUGUCUCCAUUUAAAAUUCCCUCUCUUCUCCCAGCAGAAGUUGUGUUCAAUUGCAAUCCAGGAUUGUAUAAGCAGUAUUCUUUCCUUAUGAUUUCUAUUUGUAGACCUUUAUGCUCCCUUCUCUGCCUUCUUCGGAGCUGUAGAAUUGGCAUCGUUCCCUGAGGUUUUCCAAAUGGCAAGUGGCACCGGCUGUGGCAUGUAUUCAUGCCGCUUCCUAUGGCAUUUCUCUUCCGAUGUCUGCUUUUGCUCUUUGUUUGUUGUUGACUAGGCUGAAUGGUGGGGUGUUUUUUUUUUUUUUUUAAGUUAAUUAUAAACGAAGUUGAAUAGCAAACAAACCAACAGCUUGCCCAAAAAGAAAAAAAAAAGAAAAAAAAGCCCCACACAAGCGCCUUCUGCUGCAACAGAUGCCCAGAUCACCCCUGGCAUGGGCAAAUGGGCACACAAUUUUGGUGGUAGUUAAUUUUUUCAGUUUGUUGCUGUAUUUGUUGUUUGUUUUCCUUGUUUCCUUUGAUUUUUCAAGGAGUCCAAGAUCCCGGCCUCUGCUUGGAACGGAACAGUGUCAUGGCGGAGACGACGGCCUUUGUCUUGCUGGGUGUGAAAGCAUCCGCUGUGCUUGCUCCACUGCGGCAGAAUCAAGUUUAAAGGAAGAAAGUGAUUAAAGUCAGCUUUGUGCCUCUUUGGUGUGGAAGACCCCCAAACCCCAAGUAGCCGAGUCUCUGGGUCCGAGGAAGGGCUCAUAGUUGGAGCAGCCUAGGCUGUAAUCCUGGCACUUGCGCCUUCGGUUGCUGCUUUCUGUUCGCUCCUGGGGGUCUGGAUAAUCUCCCUUGGCUUUACCGCACUGUCUGGCCCGCAUACAGGGCCCUCGUAACAUAUACCCGCUGCUGCUAUCGCACGAAACUGUGGCGUUGCCCCUGAAUGGAUGGCACUGUGCCAACUCUUCUGCCAUCCGCCCUUGCAGCUUUUUUCUUUCCUCCCUCCCUCCCCUUCUUCUCCUCCUCCUCCCGUCGACUUGACGUUAAUUAACACACGGGUUAAUUGAUUUUAAAAGCCGAAGAAUUACAGUUAACUUUUCCCACAGGGUACAGACGCCAGCCGCUUGGCACACUCUGCCUUCCGCACUGGUGCAGGGGGGCAGGGAAAGCCCGCAGCAAAACUGGCAACUGCUGAGGGAACGUUGCCUGCUUAUUGGAGUAGAGCCGAUAGAAGUCGACGUGAUACUGCCUCGUCCUUACGGUAUAUAUAGCCAUUCUAUAUUUUGUUAAAUAAUCAAAGCACACCCUGUCUCUCUUCUCCCUUCAUCUUUCAAAACAGGAAAACCCUUCAGAAGUUCUUAUGGGGGGAAAAAAUCCCUCCCCUAACCCAUUUAUCUCAUCCAUAAUAUACCCUUUCCCAAUAAUAAGAAAAUACCUGAAGCCUUUUUUCUUUAAGUUACAAGGAGGAAGGCGACCACUUCCCUAAAUAUCACACCUAAAGAAGUGUUUUUUUUUUUUUUAAAGGAAAAAGUUCCGUGAAGUUUCUUUCUCUGUAUCUUACUGUUUUAAUUUGUCCCCAUUUCUCUUGACUCGCAUGGGUUAUUUAUAAUGGAUUUCACUAAGAAAGUAGGUACGUUUUAAUUAAAAACAAAAUUCAUGUGAAAGUUCUUUUGGUUGGUUUGUAUGUUUGUAGAAUUUUGCUUUCUGUCCUUAUCUCUCCCCCUGUAGAAAAGGAAAGCAAUUGAUACUGUAGUUGGGAAGGAGACAGGCAAAGCUGGAAACUUGAUGCUUUCACCUUUUCAUGCUUUCAUUUUAUUUCAUUUUGUUUUUUUAAAAGCAUGCAGCAACUGAAGCGACAAGAGGAAUCCAUUAUGCAAAUCAUGUCACUUUGCAUAAUGUCUCAUGACUGGAAUAUGCAAAUGGGCUGUAUAAUUUAUGAGUGCCAGUGUCUGUCUAAAAGUGUUUCACAUAAUUUACAAAGUGAGUCUGAAAGACAUGGGGAAGGCAGUUCUUCCAACCCCACUGCCAAGGAAUCUCUGUGUAUUUUCCUGCAAGUGCUCCCUGGUAAUAGUGUCAAGUGUUAUUUAAAAGAAAUUAAGGUUCCAAAUAUUCAUGAAAGACAAAGAUUUUCCCCUCACUCUCUUCACCCAUAUUCUUUGCCUAAAAAUUUACAAAAUUAAUAGACUCUAAAGCAUUAAUUUUUGGAUUCAAUUUGGAAAAAAAAGUUGAGCCAAAUUUGGCAUUUGUAUAUGGAUUUUCCUUCCUAAAGCAAGGACUGUCUUAGGGAAACAGACACAUCCAUUUGUCUGGAUAUUUGAAUGCAAUAAAAUGGGACUUCUCAUUUUAGUUGGUUUUGUGUGUGUCCUGCUAUGUGCAAUAUUUUAUAAAUUAUGUUCUCUUGGAUGUGUUAGACAUAUAAUAUGGAAGUCAGAUGCAUUUAAAAUUCUUCUGAAGAUAUAAUUCUCCUUUCAUAGAUGUCUUCAAAAGAGAAAUGCUAUUCAUUAAAAACCAGGUUUAAGUUCAUUAAGUCAGCUUAGUUGGCUGCUUCAUGUCUCAUUUUGGUAACUUUUUUGAGUUGAUGAUUUUGAACCUUUUGAGAAGUCAUAACAUCUUUGAUGAUCUGCCCUAAUCUACUCUUAUAUUUUUCAUUUUAAUCAUAAUAAGUCCUGUGAAAGAGACAUAUAGGGUGCCAUGAAAAUGUGUACCAGGAGGAACUGAUCUUUGGAGAGCAUGUCAGAAAAGACUUCCUGAAGAAAGUGAAUUCAAGGUGAAUGCUGAAAGUUGAAAAGAAAUUAGACAAAAAGAGGGAGAAAAUAUUUUCCAUGUAGAGAGUUUACUCAGUAAAUCCUCAGACAACAAGAGAUUGGAACAAGCUGCUUGGAAGAACUAAAAACCAGUGUGGCUGGGGACAAUGGGUCACUGGAUCAUACUGGGAACAGAUUAGAAGGUAAGUAUGUGAAGAGAUAACUUAUACAUUAUCUGCAUUUAUGUGCUGUUACAUGGACUCAUAUCAU